rnacentral:rRNA from 1 species
AUUGAACGCUGGCGGCAGGCCUAACACAUGCAAGUCGAGCGGAUGAAGGGAGCUUGCUCCUGGAUUCAGCGGCGGACGGGUUAGUAAUGCCUAGGAAUCUGCCUGGUAGUGGGGGAUAACGUCCGGAAACGGGCGCUAAUACCGCAUACGUCCUGAGGGAGAAAGUGGGGGAUCUUCGGACCUCACGCUAUCAGAUGAGCCUAGGUCGGAUUAGCUAGUUGGUGGGGUAAAGGCCUACCAAGGCGACGAUCCGUAACUGGUCUGAGAGGAUGAUCAGUCACACUGGAACUGAGACACGGUCCAGACUCCUACGGGAGGCAGCAGUGGGGAAUAUUGGACAAAGGGCGAAAGCCUGAUCCAGCCAUGCCGCGUGUGUGAAGAAGGUCUUCGGAUUGUAAAGCACUUUAAGUUGGGAGGAAGGGCAGUAAGUUAAUACCUUGCUGUUUUGACGUUACCAACAGAAUAAGCACCGGCUAACUUCGUG